CCAGCAGCUGCGGUAAUUCCUACCACUACCUAUAUCCUAAGCUAAGUUUGAAAGGGGUAAUGGAGAAUGGAGAACGCCAACCAGCACAACCAAACGACCAUCAGGAUCCCAACAACUUCCCGCACCUGAGCUCCAAUACCAAAUGGUAUGUUGGUAAUGGAAACCCAAGCAAUGGAAAUUACCAGCACGGCAACUACAAUUAAAACCAGUAAGCUAGGCACUUAAUGAUUCUCAGCAAAUGGAGUCUCGGCAUCAGCCCAUCCUGAGCGCAUUUCAUCAUUCAACUCCUGCUGUCUCUCCUCGUUCUCAAUGUGGAUCUCUCGACAAACUUCUUCACACGCCCACCACGCCAGCAGGUUUUUGAACUGAGCAUCAGAGCCAACUGACCUUGAGCCAUUAAAGGAUGCGAUCAAAUGGAGAAUAGAUGCUUCGCCCAGCUCGCAGGUUGA
rnacentral:rRNA from 1 species